ensembl:miRNA
AUCAGUGCUAAUCUUCGAUACUCGAAGGAGAGGUUGUCCGUGUUGUCUUCUCUUUAUUUAUGAUGAAACAUACACGGGAAACCUCUUUUUUAGUAUCAAAUC